GGAUGGCCAACCAUCUUGGCUUGCCUGGGACUGAGGGGAGUUUCCUGGGACAGAACUUUCAGUGCUAAAACUGGGAAAGUC
rnacentral:miRNA from 1 species